GACGAACGCUGGCGGCGUGCUUAACACAUGCAAGUCGAACGGAAAGGCCCUGCUUUUGUGGGGUGCUCGAGUGGCGAACGGGUGAGUAACACGUGAGUAACCUGCCCUUGACUUUGGGAUAACUUCAGGAAACUGGGGCUAAUACCGGAUAGGAGCUCCUGCUGCAUGGUGGGGGUUGGAAAGUUUCGGCGGUUGGGGAUGGACUCGCGGCUUAUGAGCUUGUUGGUGGGGUAGUGGCUUACCAACGCAUUGACGGGUAGCCGGCCUGAGAGGGUGACCGGCGACAAUGCGCCUGAGAGAGGGAGCAGUGUCGAACGGUAGGCAACGGGCGAGAACAUUGCACAAUGAGGCGAAGCGUGAUGCGGAGGCCCUCGGUGCGGAAAGACGUCCUUCGGGGUAUAAACCGCUGUCGCCUGUGACGAAGCGUGAGUGACGGUACCGGGUAAAGAAGCACCGGCUAACUACGUG
rnacentral:rRNA from 1 species